rnacentral:rRNA from 1 species
UACAGAGGUGCUCAAGCGUUGUUCGGAUUCAUUGGGCGUAAAGGGUGCGUAGGCGGCGCGGUAAGUCGGGUGUGAAAACUCUUGAGCUUAACUCCGAAACUGCAUUCGAUACUGCCGGUGCUUGAGGACUGGAGGAGGAGACGUAGGUCGAAUUUACGGUGUAGCGGUAGAAAUGCGUAGAUAUCGUGAAGGAAGACCAGGUGGCGAAGGCGGGUCUCUGGACAGUUCUGACGCUGAAGCACGAAGGCCGGGAGGCAAACGGG